UUAGAAACAUCAACAUUGCCUGGAAAAAUGAAGGCUUUAGAAUGUGCAAUACUACUCUCUGCAGUUUUUUCAAUCUUUUGUGUGAUAUCAGUCUCAUGUACCAAUUCAUCCUCAGUUGAAUACAAUUUUCUCCAAUGCCUUUCCAAACAUUCUCAGCGAUCAAAUCCAAUCUCUGAAGCAAUUUACACCUCCAAAAGUGCCUCUUUUUCCUCUGUUCUGCAGUCAUAUGUGAGAAACCUCAGAUUUAUAUCCCCGACAACCCCGAAACCGCUGCUAAUUGUAGCAGCCAAGCAUGAAUCCCAUGUUCCAGCAACUGUCAUAUGUGCCAAAAGCCUUGGCUUGGAAAUCAGGAUAAGAAGCGGUGGACAUGACUAUGAGGGUGUUUCCUAUGUGUCCCGAAAUACAAAAGAUUUCAUCGUUCUCGACAUGUUUAAUCUCCGGUCCAUCAAUAUUGAUAUGGCGGAUGAAAGUGCAUGGGUCCAAUCUGGGGCAAUACUUGGUGAAAUUUUCUAUGCAAUUUCUGUGAAAAGCAAGAACCAUGCCUUCCCUGCUGGUGUGUGUCCUAGUAUUGGUGCUGGUGGACAUUUCACAGGAGGUGGUUAUGGUAACAUGAUGAGAAAAUAUGGACUUUCAACUGAUAACAUUGUGGAUGCAAAAUUGGUAAAUGUAAAUGGUAAAAUCCUUGAUAGAAAGGCCAUGGGUGAAGAUCUAUUUUGGGCCAUUAGAGGAGGUGGUGGAUCAAGUUUUGGAGUCAUUCUUGCCUGGAAAAUCAAGUUCGUUCGGGUUCCUGCCACGGUGACAGUGUUCGAAGUAAAAAGGACAUUGGCACAAGGUGCAACAGAAAGUCUUGUGAAAUGGCAACAAGUUGCUGAUAAGCUAGAUCACGAUUUGUUCAUAAGAGCAAUUAUUAAGCCAGCGAAUGGAACGAUCGAGGUGUCUUUCAUGUCCUUGUUUCUCGGAAACUCUGAAAGACUUCUGAAGCUGAUGAGUCAAAGCUUUCCUCAAUUGGGUUUGCAGAAAACAGAUUUCCAUGAAAUGAGUUGGAUUCAAUCAGUUUUAUAUUGGACAAACUACCAGAAUGGAACUACUUCCCCUGAGGUUUUGCUCAACAGGGUCCCCAAGGGGCAAGUGUUUCUGAAGCGAAAAUCUGAUUACGUGAAACAACCAAUUUCAAAGACAGAUUUGGAGGCCUUAUGGAAGGUGAUGAUUGAGAUUGGAGAAGUUACGAUGCUGUGGAAUCCUUAUGGAGGAAAAAUGAGUGAGAUUCCAGAGACAGCUACUCCAUUUCCACAUAGAGCAGGUAACUUAUUCAAGAUUCAGUAUUCAGUUAACUGGAAGGAGGAAGGGUUUGAGUCCACCAAAAGGUACUUGAGUUUGAUGAAAAAACUUUAUGUAGCAAUGACUCCUUAUGUGUCCAAGAAUCCCAGGAUGGCUUUCUACAACUAUCGUGACCUUGACAUUGGUACGAAUUCGAAAGGCGGGUACGAUGAAGCAAAAGUGUACGGGACUAAGUACUUCAAGGGUAAUUUUGAAAGAUUAGUACGUAUUAAAACAGAGGUGGAUCCUGAGAAUUUUUUCAGAAAUGAACAGAGCAUUCCAACUCUUCCGUCUAAACAACUAUAAAGGAGGGGCCGAGGGGGCUUUAGGUUUUGAUUUUCUACAGUCAUAAAUAAGAAAGUGAAGAAAAUUUUGUUGGGAUUAGAUAAUUCUCUUGUUUUGCAUUCUUUUUGUUUUUCCAGUUUUUGUUAUGUACAGGAUGGAGGCUUAGCCCAUAGUUGUAGUUAUCUAAAGGUUGGACUUAACAUGUCUCAUGUACCAAAUCAUCUAUUUCUUGUUUUAUCCUUUUGCCAAACCCAUCUAUGUAUUGUUCUCUUCAAACGUUUUUGUUGAAAAAAUAAUGUUCAUUUGUGUUCUACACAAUUCUAGAGAAGUCAAGAAUUUAAAAGAUGGAGAUGGCAAUGCAAGAAUAUUCUAUAACAAGCUAGCAGUGGCUGAAUGAUUCAAAGCAAUAAUAUCAUCU
rnacentral:lncRNA from 1 species